rnacentral:lncRNA from 1 species
GCCCUUUUCACUUUCACAGCUCCUCCGUUUCCAUCUUGUAUUUUUCUCCCUCAUCAUUACUCCUUCUCCCACAUCCACCCCACCCACUUCCCACCUCAUUCAUUCUCAUCAGAAGGAAAACAGCCACUGAAUUCAAAUGCCAUAAUCAGUGGUGGCCCCUGCAGGAAACAAAUCAAGCACCGGAGUACUCAGCACUCAACAGCGGAAAGAUUUUCCUUCUGGAGGGAAUAUUUCACAGCUGUUGAAGAAUCAAGGCUUCUGAACCAGCCUGAGUUUACAUGUGCUACCAGGAGAACCAGCAUUGGUCUGUUUGCCUGUCUCAGGGAUCAGCUGCCCUCGUGGUCACUCUGCUCAGGCAGAGUGGAUCCGAAAUGAAAUGCUUUUUAUCGCUACUUCUCAGCCCUUGAUUAAAUAAUUGUCAACUCUCAUAUGCAGAGUGUAAGAACUUCAGCUUUCUCCAACCCCAGUGGAGCACGUGCCUUUUGUUUUUUCUUCAACCAAACACACAAAGGUGGAAAAUUAAUAAGAGAUUGUAUUUUGCAGUUUGUUGAUAAAACGUCCAGAGGUAAAUCCCCAGACUUUCCAUCAUGGCAGAGCCUUACAUACGUCUGUCAAGCUAGUAAAUCUCCUUAGA